rnacentral:piRNA from 1 species
AGGACUGGAGCGAUAGAUACACAGC